rnacentral:rRNA from 1 species
UACAGAGGUCCCAAGCGUUGUUCGGAUUCACUGGGCGUAAAGGGUGCGUAGGCGGUCGGGUAAGUCUGAUGUGAAAUCUCAGAGCUCAACUCCUGAACUGCAUUGAUACGUAUCGGCUUGAGGUCUGGAGGGGGACUGGAAUUCUCGGUGUAGCAGUGAAAUGCGUAGAUAUCGAGAGGAACACCAGUGGCGAAGGCGAGUCCCUGGACAGGUCCUGACGCUGAGGCACGAAGGCCAGGGAGCAAACG